rnacentral:lncRNA from 8 species
AUGGGACUGAGCUUGGUGGGUGCGCAGCACGCUUUGGGAACCUCAUCUGGCUUCAAAAGGGUUCGCGAUCGUCUGGAGGUGGACAGCGACAGCGACUUCGAAGAUGAAUCAACUGUACUGGAUAAGGUCCAAUUGGAUGUGCCACUGCUGCCAGUUAUCCUUCAUGUCCAGGAUGCUGCUAUCAUCCUUGAGGAUGUGCCGACUUUCCUUGAGGAGGCCACUGGUAAUUGGCAGCUGAUACUGAUUAGGUUCAGCCCCCUGUACUGUGGGCCUGUUGUGAUCAGGAACAAUGCCGGUCCGGUGGCUAAAGCCUGGAGGACUUUCCAGUUCAUCAGCCCCAUUAUCACCUACAUGCGUGGGGGAUCCCAGCAGGUGGUGGUGAGGAUGCACCAUGUGAGUAGGGUUCGAGGCCUGGAGACUCAACUGGUGUGGGCCAUCUCCAAGGAGACAGCCAGGCUUAGUCCAGAGGGCAUCCCCUACUGUGCCACCAAGGUGCAGUCCGUCACUUGGAUCCAGUAUGUGGCUGGCAGGGUGACCCAGUAUGCAUCUCACCUCGGCCAGGAGACGUCUGUGGACGUGACGCUUGGCUGCUACCAGCAGACUGAUGUCUCGGUGGUGUACGCUACUCUCCACAUGGGGCUGGAUGGGCUGCUCUCCUCCUCGGCGUGGUCGGAGGCUGCCUCCGUCUCUACGCCCACCAAUCAGCAGUUCACUGAGCCAGAGCCUGAGGGCCACAACUGCUAUGAGGGCUGGGAGGAGGACCUGCUGCCUGAGGAGAGGGAGGUUCCUCUGCUAAACCUCUACCUUACCACCAAGAGAGUGGAGGACAUCGCCCUGAGGCUCGUCUCCCUGCGCCAGGCCUUCACUGACGAGGCCGAAUUCAUCCGUGCCUAUAACGACUUUGUGGACUACCUGAGUGACCCCUCCAAGCAGAUUGACAUUGAGAGGGAGCUGGCUGAGGCAAAGAUCCAUCAUGUUAACCUGAUAGAUGUCCUCUUUGAACUGGUGAUGUUUGGGAUGAUGACAGCUCAGAAGUCCAUGAUGGUGCACCCUGGUGGGUUCAUGGAGCGUCUGUACGCUCUCCUGUACUCCUUCCUGCCCGCUGCUGCCAGCAUUGAGCCAAAGGCGAGAGAUACCUGCUGCUGCUCAAUGAUUCUUAUGACACUUUGCCACCUAACAGGGAUCUAGACACUAAUGCACUACAUUACUUUGCACUGAAUUUUACAUUUUGAAAUAAAAUAACUAGUAGUUCAAAGCAUUUGUCUCUGUCUUUUCAUUUACUUGAUCAUUUCAUCACUAUUACCUCUUCCUGGAGUUAUGAGGCUAAUAUUACAUGAACAAUUAUGCUUUAUUCUUUGCAUAUGGAAAUAAACA